rnacentral:pre_miRNA from 1 species
AGUCCAUCAUCGGGUUGCUAGCUUUUUUUAUAAUUGCCAGCUGCCCUGUGAAGGGCUGU